GCCCAAGUGGCGGAAUUGGUAGACGCGCUAGUUUCAGGGACUAGUAUUCGUAAGGAUGUGCAGGUUCGAGUCCUGUUCCGGGCA
rnacentral:tRNA from 1 species